rnacentral:misc_RNA from 1 species
GCGAACCGGCAGUUGUCUCUGAACCUUCGACGAGUGAACAGGUGGAUUGAAAUUCUUCGUCAUCCACCCCUCACACACACACACACACACAUCUUGUUUUCGUUUUCCAUAUUCGAACAAGUUUUGAAUAUUUUGUUGGCAAUUGUUUUAUGAGCCACUUGUGCAAGACUGAAAUUCAAGAAAUCUGAAGGUCUUGGAACGUUCGUUUCGUCAAACUAUCGCGUUACGUUCUGUUUUUGGUCUGAUUGCAAAGGUCGGUGUCAGUUGGACAGGAAAUAUCUGGCAAAUUUUUUUUUUUUUCGAGACUUAAGUGGGCGAGAAAAUCUACACCAAGAAAAAAAACCGCAAUAAACGUGGUGCUUGUCUCGUUUUUUUUUUUUUUCGCAAAGUCCCGGAAGGAAAUGAACUGACUUCAAAGUCUCUCCUUUUUCUCGUGCUCUAUGUGAAUUUUCGUGCAUCAAAACAUUACGUGAAGGUUGAACAAUCUUUGCUUCUUCUUCUUCUUUCCGGGAUUGUCAACGAAAAAUAAAAUAACAAUAAAUUACAGUGAACGAAAUGGAUGCUUUCGAUAGCUUAGAACAGCCAUUAUGUGACUACAAUGAGAGCAUGGAUGCUCUGCCAGAACUGUGGGAAACUGAUUCUUUUCAGUCGUCGAUGGUGGUGGAAUUGCAAGACACGGAGAGCUACGAACACGCCGAUUGGCCAACUGGGUUAAGUUUCAGUUUGAUGCCUGUCGAAGAUGACGGCAACGACGAUCUCUCCGCCAGCGACACGGGCAUGGUGGUGUUACACGAUCGGCUCAUCACCGAUACGACCAACAAAGUCUUGAUUAACCCCGUUCGCCGCUACGCCAGUCGCGCUCAUCCCAAUUCGUCCUUCUACACCGAGGCAUCGCUCAUGAAUUCCAAGGACAAUACGAGCACGUUCAACAUCACUAUCGGUAGCCGAGGGGAAGUUGAAAUUUCUGAAGACACCGAUUCGAGUACAGGAAUAGGAAACCCGUUUUGCGAUCCACUUUCACUGGGCGUCAAGACGGAACCAACUUCUCCACGGCCUGCGUCUCCUUCGACGUUCAUCGACGCCCAGUUUGAUUUGAAAAAUUCCCGCUCGGAAUCGCGGAAGCGAUCCAUUUCGUUUUCCAGCACUUCGUGCAACCGCGAACGACCCACUGCCAAGACGAAGGCAGUGCCUGCAAACAGCCGUCUAAUGCUGACCAGAGUGGCAAACACUUCGUGCUCUAAUAAAUCAGCUGGCUUCUCGCUGCCCCCGACACCGCCGUCGUCGACGUCGAGCGACAGCGAAGGAAGUCUAUCGCCAGAAAGAGAAGCUGCCUCUCCCAAAUCGGAAGCAUCAGGCAGCGAAAACGGAACUAGAAGAUUAAAUCAGGCCGGACGCGUUCUCUUAACCACCAAGCCAUUACCUGACCCGUUCGGCAGCGGAAGCAGCCGCCAUCCUAUCAAUAGCCCUCUGAUCAGCUACCAACCUAAAGGUUCGACUGGAGUGCUUCAACUGACGGAGGAGGAGAAAAGAACGCUAUUAUCUGAAGGCUAUCCGGUACCGACACGGUUGCCGCUUACGAAAGCCGAAGAAAAGUCGUUGAAAAAAAUUCGCCGUAAAAUCAAAAACAAAAUCUCAGCUCAAGAGUCGCGUCGGAAAAAGAAAGAGUACAUGGACACGCUUGAGAGACGAGCUCAAGUGCUGGCCGACGAAAACAGCGACUAUCGCCAGCGGCUUCACAAGUUGGAGACGGACAAUGCGGCCCUUCAGCUUCAACUGACGCGCCUCAAGCACCUCUGUAGUAAGCGAUCGAACAUCGUGGAUCUAAACUCUCAUCAGAUGGACGAAAUGUCUAUACCUAUUAAAGAAGUCGAUGACUGCUUUUCAACUAGAGGCUAAAUGUUGGUGACUGACAGAUGAAAUGAGCCUGUCAAAUCAUUCCGUCCGUUUUUGGGAGUAGGAAAUACCUGAUACUCCGUUGCACAUCUGUAAUAGCUAGUCUUUAAAAAACAAAAUGUUCCGAUUUUAGACGUCGAUCCUGAUUUUUGGCAUUGCGCUCCCCUCAUGUGCGCGCCAUCGGCUAUUACGGCGACGGAAUUCAUACAUUUCCUAUUCUUAUUAUAGAAGAAGAAAAAAGAAAAGGGGGGGGGGAGCUGUUGCAAAUUUUGCUUAGCUGGAUUAUGUUUUUUAAGACUAGCGCGUGCAAUCGGUUCACGCCAAAAUAACGUCGAUCAGUUCUCAUGUUUAUUCACGUUCUCGACACCUUAAACGUUGUUGUUCCACCACUGUUUGUUUUCCCCGUGUUUGUUUUUCUAAAAUUGAGGCAUUGAAUACGGUGACUGGUUUAAAAUAUUGUGUGCUGUUCUACAUAUUUUGACCCGUGUGUUUUUUUUGUUUGCGUGUGUUUGUUUUGAAUUGCGGUUGAUUUCAUUUUUUCACAUGGGAUUCUUGAACUUUCAUCGGUUAUAUUUGGGAUCAUGUAGCUCUCAUCGUCGCGUUUCAUUCAUUUUUUCCCCCGUUUCGUUUGAAAUUUCUGUUCCUUUCUUUUUUGUUCUUAAAUGUAUCGUUUGUUUCAGGACACGCAUUAUUAUUACACGAUUGAUUGCUUUUUUUUACAAA